rnacentral:pre_miRNA from 1 species
AGUGGGAUUGUUAGGACACAAGGUAUAACUGUAUAAUUGACUUUGUAAGAAACUAUCAAGCUGUUUUCCAAAAUGGCUAUAUCACUUGUAUUCCCAUUAGUGAU